ensembl:processed_transcript Gm20407 predicted gene 20407
GCCAAAAAUUCAUUCAUUUAUGCCAUUAAAUGUAAACACAAUGAUACUCAUUUUAAAAAUGAACUGUUAUAGCUGGGUGAUGGUGACACACAGCACUCAAGAGGCAAAAAAAGAAUCUCUGAGUUCAAGGCUGCCACCACCUGUUUUUAAACAGUUGAUAAUACAGUUAAGCCAAGCUGGCUAGAGAAAUGGAACUGCAAAGCCAAGUAGUAACGGGAGUGUGAAAUCACCAGAGACUAAAACCUCCUAGUGGAAAAUGAUAAGCAGUUUGCUGCCACAAGGUAGAACAAAAUAAAUUUAUUUUAAUUAUUUUGAUAACUAGGCAGGGAGGAGUCAUUAAAACAGUGGUCCUCAACCCGUGGACCACUGCCCCUUUGAGGAGGGGUCACAUAUCACAUAUCCUGUAUGUCAAUUAUUUACAUUACAAUUCAUAUCAUUAGCAAAAUUACAGUUAUAAAGUAGUAACAAAAUAAUUUUAUGCUUUGAAGGUCACCACAACAUAAGAAACUGCAUUAAAGGUCCGCAACAUUAGGAAGGCUGAGAGCCACUGCAUUAACAGAUUCUGACUCAGAAAAAUAUAAAACUUAUUUUAAAAAAA